AUACGGAGGGUGCAAGCGUUGUUCGGAAUCACUGGGCGUAAAGGGCGCGCAGGCGGUCCUGCAAGUCAGAUGUGAAAGCCCACGGCUCAACCGUGGAAGUGCAUUUGGAACUGCAGGACUUGAGUAUCAGAGGGGAAAGUGGAAUUCCCGGUGUAGAGGUGAAAUUCGUAGAUAUCGGGAGGAAUACCGGUGGCGAAGGCGACUUUCUGGCUGAAUACUGACGCUGAGGCGCGAAAGCGUGGGGAGCAAACAGGAUUAGAUACCCCAGUAGUCC
rnacentral:rRNA from 1 species